rnacentral:tRNA from 1 species
AGUCCUUGGGAGGAACGUUUUUCCCCCUCUUCUGGUUUACAAGACCAGGGUAUGUAAAGACGCACAUAACCCUGGUCUUGCUAUACCUAGCAACUGGUUGACGCACAUCACCCCCGUGGUGCUAUACCUCGCAGCUGGUUCAGACACAUCACCCCGGGUGUUGCUCUACAUGGCACCUGGGUUGACCACACAAACCAGCGCUGGUUGUAUCAAGCG